AGCUUGUGUGUCUUAGGCAAUGUAGCCUGUGUAGUGUCUGUUGUGUGGCCUGGGCAGAUUUUGCUGUGGUGCUGUGAGUGAAGAAUCUGAGUUAGAGCUGGUGAGCAGCUGAAGUACCGGAGCUGGGAAGAGAGAGGUCUUGCAGCAGGUACACUGUGGCUGUGAGGUGCCUCAGAGUGUGCUUUUCCCUUUUCUCUGCAGGUGCUUUGUGCAGUCGUGGACAGGGAAGGGAUAUCUUCCUGUGAUGGAGCUCUGAGGGAAGGUGGCGUGGGUGAUGUUGGCCGCUCCUUUCAAGCUUGGACCUAAUUUUCAGGUACAGAGGCAAGUGGCCUGCUGUUUUGAAAGGAUAAAAGCUGAAACGCAGUGCGCAGUGCAGGACCUCUCGACCCAAGCUGCCUCUGCAGUGACUCUGGUGCUUGAUGAGCAGAGGUAACUGUUGUUUUUGGGGCGCGAUUGUCACUGCAGUUAUUUUCCUACAUCCAAUAGAGUAAAAUUCCAGUUUGCCUUUUAGAGGUGCUAUAAGUGGGUGAAGAGAACAGAUGGAAGCAUGUGCCACGUGGGGUAGGCAGACGGCUGAGGUACAGGAGGGGAUGAGAGUAUGUGAUUUUUUUCUGGGGACGAAAUGGAAUUAAUUUUGUUGGUGUAUAAUCUGUUCUGCACCUAGAUUUUUCUUUCAAUGUGAAUAAAAGUUUGAGCUAAUUCCA
rnacentral:lncRNA from 1 species